rnacentral:rRNA from 1 species
AUGGCUCAGAUUGAACGCUGGCGGUAUGCUUAACACACCAAGUCGAACGGUAACAGGCCUUCGGGCGCUGACGAGUGGCGGACGGGUGAGUAACGCGUAGGAAUCUGCCUCAUAGUGGGGGACAACGUGGGGAAACUCACGCUAAUACCGCAUACGCCCUACGGGGGAAAGCGGGGGAUCUUCGGACCUCGCGCUAUGAGAUGAGCCUGCGUUAGAUUAGCUAGUUGGUAGGGUAAAGGCCUACCAAGGCGACGAUCUAUAGCUGGUCUGAGAGGACGAUCAGCCACACUGGGACUGAGACACGGCCCAGACUCCUACGGGAGGCAGCAGUGGGGAAUAUUGGACAAUGGGCGCAAGCCUGAUCCAGCAAUACCGCGUGUGUGAAGAAGGCCCUAGGGUUGUAAAGCACUUUCAAUUGGGAGGAAAACCUGUCGGUCAAUACCCGGCAGCUUGACAUUACCUUUAGAAGAAGCACCGGCUAACUCCGUGCCAGCAGCCGCGGUAAUACGGAGGGUGC